CCCCUGUUAUGAAAUCUUAGGCUGGGGAAAUGUAAGCAAGUAAAAUAAGAGUGAAGAUUUUAUCUGUGGAGGUAAUGUAAGGUUAGAGGUUCUAGAAUGCUUCUAGAGUGAUUCGGAAGAACUCAUUCUUGCUGUAGAGAUGUCAGAAUCGAGAUAGCAUAUGGAACUAAGGAGGGGUUUUGCUCUAGAGAGAAAUAGACAAGAGA